UACGUAGGGUGCAAGCGUUGUCCGGAAUUAUUGGGCGUAAAGAGCUCGUAGGCGGUUUGUCGCGUCUGCUGUGAAAUCCCAGGGCUUAACCCUGGGCCUGCAGUGGGUACGGGCAAACUAGAGUGCGGUAGGGGAGAUCGGAAUUCCUGGUGUAGCGGUGAAAUGCGCAGAUAUCAGGAGGAACACCGGUGGCGAAGGCGGAUCUCUGGGCCGUAACUGACGCUGAGGAGCGAAAGCAUGGGUAGUGAACAGG
rnacentral:rRNA from 1 species